AGAUGCGAUCAUAGCAGUACUAAAACAUCAGAUCUCAUCGGAACUCUGCGGUUAAACUUGCUUGGACAUAAGUAGUAUUAAGAUGGAAGACCUCUUGAGAAAUUUGUGUUGCAUCUC
rnacentral:rRNA from 2 species